UACGUAGGGGGCAAGCGUUGUCCGGAAUUAUUGGGCGUAAAGAGCUCGUAGGCGGUCUGUCGCGUCUGCUGUGAAAACUCAGGGCUUAACCCUGAGCUUGCAGUGGGUACGGGCAGACUAGAGUGCGGUAGGGGAGACUGGAAUUCCUGGUGUAGCGGUGAAAUGCGCAGAUAUCAGAAGGAACACCGGUGGCGAAGGCGGGUCUCUGGGCCGAUACUGACGCUGAGGCGCGAAAGCGUGGGGAGCAAUCCGG
rnacentral:rRNA from 1 species